rnacentral:rRNA from 1 species
AGAGUUUGAUCAUGGCUCAGAGCGAACGCUGGCGGCGUGCCUAACACAUGCAAGUCGAACGUGAAAGGGGGCAACCCCGAGUAAAGUGGCGUACGGGUGAGUAACGCGUAGGUAAUCUACCUCAGAGUCUGGAAUAACCUGCCGAAAGGCGGGCUAAUACUGGAUAGAGCGACGGAAUCCGUAAUUGGGUUUUUCGGGAAAGGGAGGGAGCAAUCCCCCUUGCUCUGGGAUGAGCCUGCGUCUCAUUAGCUAGUUGGUGGGGUAACGGCCCACCAAGGCUUUGAUGGGUAGCUGGUCUGAGAGGAUGAUCAGCCACACUGGAACUGAAACACGGUCCAGACUCCUACGGGAGGCAGCAGUGGGGAAUCUUGCGCAAUGGACGAAAGUCUGACGCAGCCACGCCGCGUGAGUGAAGAAGGCCUUCGGGUUGUAAAGCUCUGUCGAGCGGGACGAAAAUCUCGGGUGUUAACAGCAUCCGGGCCUGACGGUACCGCUAAAGGAAGCACCGGCUAACUUCGUGCCAGCAGCCGCGGUAAUACGAGGGGUGCAAGCGUUGCUCGGAAUUAUUGGGCGUAAAGGGUAGGUAGGUGGUCUCAUUUGUCUAGGGUGAAAUCCUUGGGCUUAACCCAAGAAGUGCCCUAGAAACGGUGAGACUGGAGUCUUGGAGAGGGUCGUGGAAUUCCCGGUGUAGCGGUGAAAUGCGUAGAGAUCGGGAGGAACACCAGAGGCGAAGGCGGCGACCUGGACAAGCACUGACACUCAACUACGAAAGCGUGGGGAGCAAACAGGAUUAGAUACCCCCGUAGUCC